rnacentral:rRNA from 1 species
UACGUAGGGUGCAAGCGUUGUCCGGAAUUAUUGGGCGUAAAGAGCUCGUAGGCGGUUCGUCGCGUCGGCUGUGAAAUCCCGGAGCUCAACUCCGGGUCUGCAGUCGAUACGGGCGGACUUGAGUUCGGCAGGGGAGACUGGAAUUCCUGGUGUAGCGGUGAAAUGCGCAGAUAUCAGGAGGAACACCGGUGGCGAAGGCGGGGUCUCUGGGCCGAUACUGACGCUGAGGAGCGAAAGCGUGGGGAGCGAACAGG